UUGUUCAAAUGUGUGUGCAGAGCGCUAGGAUCUGAGCAGAGGAGCGUCCCCAGGAUGGGAACAGAAGGCUUUAUAAAGACCUGGCCUGCUGCCCUCCCCGGCCACACCCCUGGUUUUCCCGUGGGUACAGCCUUCACCCGGCUUCUUUCACGGAGACGUGAAGAAACCUCACUCGGGAAAGCUGGGGGUGCCCACGGCUGCCCCGCCGCGGACAUCUUGUCGGAGGCUGCCCGGGUGGACUACAUCCCCCAGCAUGCACCGCGGCCGACCGGCCGGCCUACAGCACCCAGCGUGCCCCGCGGCUCUCGCGCCUUCAAGAUGACGGCGCCCAGAGGCAUCUCGAAGCCGGACGCGGACACGGACUCGGACAGCAGCGGCGAGGCGGCAGCGCGGUUCCGGGAGGCCGCCUGGGACUGCGCUGUGCAGGCGGCAGCGGCGCGGGGGCAGCCGCAUGGCGGUGAGGGUUGGUGGCCAGCUAGGCUCUCCCCUUCCCCUCGCCGCCGGUCUGGGCCGGGCCCUUCCGUAGCUCCUCCUGCCGCGAGCAGUCCCCGGGGAGCGGCGGUCAGGCGGCGGCACCUCUCUGCCGCGGUGCCGGUGUCAGCGCCGGGCUGUUUCGGGAGCCGCCCGCACCCGGGGAGCCGCGGCGGGGCUGUGGGAGCGGGACUUGGCCCGGCGGCCGGCCGUGCCAUGGCGGUGCGCGGCCUCCUGCGGAGGCCAGAGCCCCUUCCCGGACGUAAGGUGAAUAGUCAUGAUGAGGAUGGAAAUGAGCUGCAGACAACACCAGCGUUCAGAGCACAUGUUGCAAAGAAACUGGGAGCAAUGUUAGACAGCUUCAUCACUGUCUUGAAGGACUCAUCAGGACCUUCACAAAGUUCUAUGCAACAGUCUGAUUCUGCAGAUGAUGGUUUUCGCCUCUUCUCUUCCUCUGUCGCAGGAGACUGUGGGAAAUCAGAGCCUUGCCCUCCAGCAAGGAGGAGACAGCCGUCUAGCUCCAGUGACACGGACAGUGACCAAGAGUGGCAAAGGUACCAGGAGGCUGCUGUGUCAGCUGCAGACAUUCUGAAGCAAAGUGCUUUUCCUGCACUGUCCCAAGAUUCCAGUCAGGAUCAGAGUCAGGGUUAUGUAGAGCACAGUCAGAAAAAAAGGAAGAAAAAGAAAAUUAGGGGAGAGAACAAUAAUCAAGAGAAAAUAAUAGAUCCAUCAGAGUGUGAUCACAUGUGCAGAGAUUUGCCACUGUUGGUGUCUGCAAAUGGACAGCAUGAAAGACAGGACAGCAAUCAUACAGAGAGCUCAGUGUUGCCAGGAGUCGUGAAGAAGAAAAAGAAGAAGAAAAAAAGAGAAUGAAGAUUUUGCUCUGCAAAUGGCAGGCGAGAGAAGCCUUCAUUUCCCUGAGGUGGGUUCUGAAUUGCUGCUUUGGACCAGACCUUGCUUUAAAGAGAGGUUCAGAGCUGGACCAUCCUCUGGCCCUUUCCUCUGGAGCCUGCUAGACAACCCUCACUGAUGUCAGUGCACAGCCUGGAGCCGGGCUAGGCAGAGAGCAGGGAAGAUGGCGUCUGCACCCAGAGUACCAGGUGCCCUUGCUGCAGUGAGUUAAAAAAAGCUCAGAUGGAUACAGAAGACUCUCUUUGUGUGGCUAAAAAGAAGUAACAAAUUGGAGUCUGUGUGAAAACGUAAUGUAAGAAAUUUUCAUGUGAACAUUAAUGUAAAAUGACAUCAUUAGUUUCUAAAGAUUUUUGUUUUCCAUACACUUGGUAAAGAGUAUUUAAAGAAUGGUGAGCUUUUUUGGUGGUGUUCUAUCAAUGUUUUGAUACAAUUUCCAUGCGUCUUAUUUUUUUAUUAUAGUUUUCCUAAUUUCCUGCACACCCCCCCCUCGUAGACAUGCCAACAAUGGCAGCCAAUAACAGUAGUUGUCAAUUGUAAUUACAGUAUCCAACCAUGAUACAAUUUCUGCAUGAUACGUCUUUAUAAUUCAAGGACUUUGCAAAGACAAAGGGCCUCCUGAAAUAUGUGACAGAGAAGAUUCUGUCAUAUUGUGUAACUUUGUCUUUUGGUAUUGUGAUUUCUUUUGCCUAAACUAAGAUGGAAAAUACUACCGCUCUUCUUGUUUAAAAGAUUGUUCCAUCUGUGUUCUGUAAGUAUAUAUAUCUGUUGAAUGCUUGAGGGGGGAUGGGCCACAGACCAUUAAGUUUAGACAAGGAACAGCAAUAUUUGUCAAGGGAAACUGUAAAGAGAAGAAAACAGAGCAACAAAUUAUCUGUCUAUAUUGUGUGGUUUCAAGGAUUUCUUAUGCACCCAGAUGUCCUGUUGCUGCUGCUUCUGCUUGUCUUGAAGACCUUUAGCAGAAGGGGCUUUUAAAACAGCCUGUCUUGGAAACACUGAACUUUGAAGUCUAUAAAACAAGAAAUGAACAUCUGUUCAUUAUGGCACCCAGUUAGGACCUUACUGAAUGCUACAACUGGAUGUCAUGUGGAAAAUCCUUAAUUGAUUAUGGAAACCUUCCAAAUACUGAGGAGGAGGUAAAUAUUCUCUUUCACUUUAUCCUGAAUGACUUUUUAUCUUGGUCUAUUAGAAUUGUCCAUUUUAAACUGUAGAAUUCUGGAUGAUUAACAAAAGAAGUAAACUUCUAUGCUGUCAACUUUACAUUCACUGUAACCUGCCAGACUGUGCUAAUGAAUGGUUCAGCACUCCAUUAAGUAUUUUGGAUUCUUCAGUGCAGGAAAACAAGCAAGCUUUUCAACAUUUCUUAAAUGUUAUAAAUUGAUAGCAGACAGGCUGAACAUUUGGGAAGCAGGAAAGAGUCUCCAGCUGCAAAUUAGCCAUAUCCCCUAUUUUAUACCCUAGCACUAAGAAUUGCAAUAUCAUAUUCCUCAGGUUAUUACAAGUACCACAAUAUGCAGUUGUGAGGUAGUAAGAAUAGCAGAGAUUGAGGGUGGAAGCUACAAAGAUUAACCAACUAGAUUAUAGUUUUAGUAGCAGAACAAGAGCUAAAUUGCAGUGCCAUAAUCCAGACAACGUUCUCCUGUAACUGAAUUGUACUCAAGGAUUUUUGCCUUGAGAAUGAAUACUCAAAACAAAAGGUCUUGGUUUUGCUAUACCCAUUUUCAUCUACUACCAAUGCUUAGUAUACUUUGAUUUCCUUAAUUGCAACAAUUUAAUGGGCCAUGACUUUAUUCUCAAGUCACCCUGCCUAAUGGGAUCUUGGUAACUGUGAUAGGGGAACCUUUUGAAGUUUGAAGACACCAAGUGGUACCUGCUUGUUUUUCUUAUGUUUGUAGUAUCUGUUUUUGUAUUAUUUUUUUUCCUGCAUAACUGCUUGUUUUUCCUUAGGCAUAACUAAUAUGGUAGUUGAGACCCCUCAAAUUCAGUGCUUCAUUGACAAGACAUAAGAUGACUUACAACAUUAUAAGGUCAGCUUAAUAGCAGGCUCAGGAACAAUGUUGCAUUAACAGAUCAGUUUGGAUGCAGAUUGGAGAAACGUAUCAAUUAGUAAUCACAAGUAGUCUGAUUUCUAUUUUAUUUUAAUGGCAAAUUUAAUAAAGAUUAUUUAAACAUGUUCAA